rnacentral:rRNA from 1 species
ACGGGGAGCAGCAGGCGCGAAAACUUUGCAAUACACGAAAGUGUGACAGGACUAUCCCGAGUGCCAUCCGCUGAGGAAGGCUUUUACCCAGUCUAGAACGCUGGGGGAAUAAGGAGAGGGCAAGUCUGGUGUCAGCCGCCGCGGUAAUACCAGCUCUCCGAGUGGUGUGGAUGUUUAUUGGGCCUAAAGCAUCCGUAGCUGGCUAAGUUAGUCCCUUGUUAAAUCCACCGAAUUAAUCGUUGGAUUGCGGGGGAUACUGCUUGGCUAGGGGACGAGAGAGGCAGACGGUAUUUCCGGGGUAGGGGUGAAAUCCUAUAAUCCCGGGAAGACCACCAGUGGCGAAGGCUGUCUGCUAGAACGCGCCCGACGGUGAGGGAUGAAAGCUGGGGGAGCGAACCGGGUUAGAUACCCGGGUAGUCCCAGCUGUAAACGAUGCAGGCUAGGUGUUUGGACGGCCACGUGCCGUUCUAGUGCCGCAGGGAAGCUGUUAAGCCUGCCGCCUGGGGGAGUACGAUCGCAAGAUUGAAACUUAAAGGAAUUGGCGGGGGGAGCAC